UACGAAGGGGGCUAGCGUUGUUCGGAAUCACUGGGCGUAAAGCGCACGUAGGCGGAUUUUUAAGUCAGGGGUGAAAUCCCGAGGCUCAACCUCGGAACUGCCUUUGAUACUGGAGAUCUUGAGUCCGGAAGAGGUAAGUGGAACUGCGAGUGUAGAGGUGAAAUUCGUAGAUAUUCGCAAGAACACCAGUGGCGAAGGCGGCCCGCUGGGCAGUGGCUGACGCUGAGGCGCGACAGCGUGGGGAGCAAACAGG
rnacentral:rRNA from 1 species